GCCGGAGUGGUGAAAUUGGUAGACGCAGGGGACUCAAAAUCCCCCGAGGUAAAACUCGUGCCGGUUCGAUUCCGGCCUCCGGCACCA
rnacentral:tRNA from 2 species